CAGGUACAAGUCAGCUGCAUAUUUGGAGUGGAAAGCCCAAGGCUAGAAGCCCGGAAUAUCGAAAACAAUCAUCUGAAUUGGACCCAAAAUCUUCUCAGUUACCACACCGGAAACCUGGCAGGGAGGGGACCUGCCGGUUCAAAUGAGCAGAACCCAGAAUCAGAAAUCUUGGCUGUCUUUUCCUUCCUCUGGCACCAGAAACAGCCCUGACACGCUCAGGAAAAGGCCUGCGACCUGUUUCCCUGGGAAAAACACAGGCAACACUAUUACCAGGAACCCGAGCGUCGAUGGAUGAGCAGAGCGGCCAGGGAGUCGCAUGAACAGGACGGGGAUGGGGAGCUUGCUCGCAGCAAGGCAGAGAGAAGACAGGAGCCUUCCCUUCAGCAGGCCGCUCGGACAGGUGACAUUCUCAGUGCCCCGCCAGUCUGGGCCGUGCCACUGCCACGGAGGACCUUCCGGAGCCUGAGCACUGCGGAAUAGCAGGAAACAAAGGGAAGGAAACGCUGAGUCAGGCCCCGUGAGGAUGGGGGCCAGCCUGCGUUCACGCCACCGGAGCCAAGGAGGGCUUGGACCACACGAACUGCAAGAGGCGAGUAAGUCUCCUGCGAGAGCCCCAGCACUGUGCGGUCCUCCACGCUAGGAGUGACCCCAAAGCAAACCGGGUGUGGUCCCCCAAACAAAACAAAACAAAUAAUUCUCCCCGUCUUCGAGCCUUGAAACAGGCAUGCCCCACCAACACUUGGGUUUAAAACUCUUAUUUUUUUGACGAGCAAAUAAAGUUCUGAAUAAAGUUUUUGUUCUUUUUUAUUUUUUCUUUCUUUCUCCCAAUGUCAGGGAUCAAACCUGGGGCCUCACACAUGCAAAUCAAGUGCUCUAUGGCUGAGCCACACCUCGGGCCCUAAAUUUGCCCAACCUCCAAAUUUGUGAUAAAUUUUCAUGACAAUCUUAUGGAAAUGAAUACGGUC